UACAGAGGUCUCAAGCGUUGUUCGGAUUCAUUGGGCGUAAAGGGUGUGUAGGUGGCGCCGUAAGUCGGGUGUGAAAUCUCGGAGCUUAACUCCGAAACUGCAUUCGAUACUGCCGUGCUUGAGGACUGGAGAGGAGACUGGAAUUUACGGUGUAGCGGUGAAAUGCGUAGAUAUCGUAAGGAAGACCAGUGGCGAAGGCGGGUCUCUGGACAGUUCCUGACGCUGAGGCACGGAAGGUCAGGGGGAGCAAAACGGG
rnacentral:rRNA from 1 species